rnacentral:tRNA from 2 species
AAGAUUUUAAGUUAUCAUUAAACUAUUAACCUUCAAAGUUAAAAAUAAAAAAAUUUUUUAGAUCUUA